CCCCCUCCCUUUUUCUUCUCUUCGUCUUCUGAUUAGAGAGAGAGAGAGAAGUUUUGAGGCGAUUUUGUGGGUUCUAGCCUUCAACAGCGUUGCCGCUUGCCGUCCAGAGCUGACUGCCUCUUCACUCUCUCUGUCUCUCACAACACAAACGCACAUAUACCCCUGUCUCUCUCUCGCCGCCCAUAGUUACCAGGCAUCUGGAUUCUUCUUUGGGGUGUGCUCAAGGCAUUCUUCUUCGCAAGAAAAAAAGGGCUAGGGUUUCAUGUGCGUUGUUCUCUCUCUCGAUGAAGGAUAGGUUUGCGAAAGCUUGACAAAGAUCUGGAUCCCCGUUGUUUUGCACAUCGUUGUUUGAUCACGAAAGAGUUCAGGUCCCCUUUGUGCGUUGGAUCCGUGUGGAACGUCAAAGCCAUCUGGCCUUGAAUGGAGUUUUUUGCUGUGGAAACCGCCGGUAGAAUGAGAACAAUUGCUGUUGUGUCAACUCAUAGAGCCCCUGGACACCUCUACUACAGACCGUUUAGCAACUUUGUGUGUGAUUAAGAUUUUCAAAGCUAAAACUUUUCAGAAUGCAGGAGCAACAACAAUUAGAACUGUUUCUCUGUUAUGCCCGAUUGCUCCACAUGUUUGGCACUCUAAUUAUGUUGAGAAUAUAGAUAGUAUGGUGCGUAUUCUUUUUUGCAAGAUUGACUCUCAACGCUGUAGUUUCGCAUGAUUAGAUGCUUCGUGCCAUUUUAAAAUGAUGAUUUUACAUUUUGAAUUAUGUAAAUGCAUUUGCUUCCACUUGGUCAAUUGUUAUAUUUCAUGUUCGUUUGGACUCCUCACAUUGUCUGCUUUCAGAAAUUUGCACAGCUGGCUGCUAUUAUUCAUAGAAGAAAAUUUUAUCUUCUUUCCCAUAUGAGUAGUGAAUUGUUUGCAUUUUUCACAUGUGAUGCCCCUAUUCAUGUUUAGUUUUCAUUUAGUGACACAAAGAUAAAUAUGAAAAGAGAUUUGCUUUAGUUUAAUUCCUCUCCAUUGUGUUCUGGUAAAUAUGGCAUUACACAAAUACCAACUAAUCAAAACUUAUUCCC